rnacentral:rRNA from 1 species
AUGGCCUACCAAGGCUUUGACGGGUAACCGGCCUGAGAGGGUGACCGGUCACAUUGGGACUGAGAUACGGCCCAGACUCCUACGGGAGGCAGCAGUGGGGAAUUUUGCACAAUGGGCGAAAGCCUGAUGCAGCGACGCCGCGUGAGGGAUGACGGCCUUCGGGUUGUAAACCUCUUUCGCUCAUGGUCAAGGCUAGUUGUUGUUCUAGUUGAGGGUAGUGGGUAAAGAAGCGCCGGCUAACUACGUGCCAGCAGCCGCGGUAAUACGUAGGGCGCGAGCGUUGUCCGGAAUUAUUGGGCGUAAAGGGCUUGUAGGCGGCUUGUCGCGUCUGCCGUGAAAACCCAUAGCUUAACUGUGGGCUUGCGGUGGGUACGGGCUGGCUUGAGUGCGGUAGGGGAGACUGGAAUUCCUGGUGUAGCGGUGGAAUGCGCAGAUAUCAGGAGGAACACCGGUGGCGAAGGCGGGUCUCUGGGCCGUUACUGACGCUGAGGAGCGAAAGCGUGGGGAGCGAACAGGAUUAGAUACCCUGGUAGUCCACGCUGUAAACGUUGGGCACUAGGUGUGGGGGCCGCCCUUGGUUUCUGCGCCGUAGCUAACGCUUUAAGUGCCCCGCCUGGGGAGUACGGCCGCAAGGCUAAAACUCAAAGGAAUUGACGGGGGCCCGCACAAGCGGCGGAGCAUGCGGAUUAAUUCGAUGCAACGCGAAGAACCUUACCAAGGCUUGACAUGCACCGCGACACUGCAGAGAUGUGGUGGCCUUCGGGGUGGUGUGCAGGUGGUGCAUGGUUGUCGUCAGCUCGUGUCGUGAGAUGUUGGGUUAAGUCCCGCAACGAGCGCAACCCUUGCCCUAUGUUGCCAGCACGUGAUGGUGGGGACUCGUGGGGGACUGCCGGGGUUAACUCGGAGGAAGGUGGGGAUGACGUCAAAUCAUCAUGCCCCUUAUGUCUUGGGCUUCACGCAUGCUACAAUGGCUGGUACAGAGGGUUGCGAUACUGUGAGGUGGAGCGAAUCCCUUAAAGCUGGUCUCAGUUCGGAUUGGGGUCUGCAACUCGACCCCAUGAAGGUGGAGUCGCUAGUAAUCGCAGAUCAGCAACGCUGCGGUGAAUACGUUCUCGGGCCUUGUACACACCGCCCGUCACGUCACGAAAGUUGGUAACACCCGAAGCUCAUGGCCUAACCGUUGC